rnacentral:lncRNA from 1 species
AAAAAUACUUACCAAAACUACAGCAAACCACAAGAUAGUUGAUUGUAUUUGUAUAUCAUAAAAUAUAGUAUUAUAGUAUAUCAACAAAUAAUAUAAAGAUGUUAAGAAUUCAUUUCAUAAGCAGGUUAAGGGUGACAAGUGAAAAACAUCUAGUUGAAAAUGUUCUGGUCUGAUCGAAAAUCAUAAUAUUUUAUGUAGCAACCCGACAGCUUAUUUAUAACGGCAAUAAAUAGUUGUAAAUUCUAUAGCAGCACCAGUCCAUGUUUGCAUUGGUCUAAAUUGAGACAAUCCUUACUUAAGAAUGAUGAAUCUCACACUCCAUCUGAUCAUGUUGUUC